UGAAAGCUUCCCAGGGAGAAGAAGAGCGAAACACCCCGUAACCUUACGGCAAAUUUUCAACUCCUGUAACUUCUCCGUCCAAGCUCCGAUUGCCGCACCGUUUGCGGCCACACGUUCACCGUGUCGAGCUCUACGUUUUUACCAGAAAAAUUUCAUAGGAUCCAAUUAGCUUGAAAAAAAUGUUCACUCUUGCUUAUGUGAAGCUUGGGUAAGGUUGAAAAUAAAUAAUUGGAGUUUGAAAUUGUGAAUACUGGAACUUGGAGGAAGCUGAUUAGUUGAGAUUUUGAGGGCUGUGUUCUUUAGGAAAAAAUAUCUUGGAAUAAUACUUGGAAAUCGGUUAAGGUAUGGUUUAGGUUUCUUGCAUUUAAUAUAUAAUGUUCUGUGAAAACUUAGGCUAGAUGACCAUAGGAU